GAAAGAAAGAAAGAAAGAAAGAAAGAAAGAAAGAAAGAAAGAAAGAAAGAAAGAAAGAAAGGAACAAGUGGAGACAGAUGGAGAGGGAGAAGGGAAAAGAGAGAGAUGGAAAGAGAGAGAGAGAGAGAGAGAGAGAGAGAGAGAGAGAGAGAGAGAGAGAGAGAGAGAGAGAUUGCCAGUGAUAUAGAGGAUGGGAUAAAAACAUGUCCUCUGUGGGCAAAGGAGAAUCUCGAGCUGAUGCACGAUAAGAGAAGCUGAUACACGAUGAGAGAAGCUGAUACGCGAUGAGAGAAGCUGAUACGCGAUGAGAGAAGCUGAUACGUGAUGAUAGAAGCUGAUACGCGAUGAGAGAAGCUGAUACACAAUGAGAGAAGCUGAUACAUGCAGAAUCUGAAAGUUGUGCCCUGAGUAGCCACCUGAGACAUCGCCAUGGAGACGCAGCUGCAGGAGGAGCCUGACUGGGAGAGACUAACCACAGCUAGGCCUGCUGGGUCUCAGAAAAACAAAUAACAUUUGAAGGUAUUUGAAUAUAUGCAAGUCAUUUGAAAACAAAAAUAUAUAUUUAUUUGAUGGCUGACAAAUAUUUGUUUGAGAAUCAAAAACUACCACAGUUAGUUGAUCAUCAGCACAUGGUCUGGAAGGCUGUUAGACAUGCAUCUUAAUAUAGCCUACAGUUUAGAAUGAAAUACAUGAGGUGCUGUGCUUUGGCAAAGUGGGUGGGGUUAUAUCCUGCCUGACGGGGCCACAGUGUCUCCCGACCCCUCCUGUCUCAGCCUCCAGUAUUUAUGCUGCAGUAGUUUAUGUGUCGGGGGUUAGGGUCAGUCUGUAAAAUAUCUGGUCAGUCUGUUAUAUCUGGAGUAUUUCUCCUGUCUUAUCCGGUGUUCUGUGUGAAUUUAAGAAUGCUCUCUCUAAUUCUGUCUCUUUUUCUCUCUUUCUUUCUUUCUUUCUUUCUUUCUUUCUUUCUUUCUUUCUUUCUUUCUUUCUUUCUCUCUCUCGGAGGACCUGAGCCCUAGGACCAUGCCUCAGGACUGCCUGAUGACUCCUUGCUGUCCCCAGUCCACCUGGCCGUGCUGCUGCUCCAGUUUCAACUGUUCUGCCUGCGGCUAUGGAACCCUGACCUGUUCACCAGACGUGCUACCUGUCCCAGACCUGCUGUUUUCAACACUCUAGAGACAGCAGGAGCGGUAGAGAUAGUCUGAAUGAUCGGCUAUGAAAAGUCAACUGACAUUUAUUCCUGAGGUGCUGACCUGUUGCACCCUCGAAAACCACUGUGAUUAUUAUUAUUUGACCCUGCUUGUCAUCUAUGAACAUUUGAACAUCUUGGCCAUGCUCUGUUAUAAUCUCCACCCGGCACAGCCAGGACUGGCCACCCCUCAUAGCCUGGUUCCUCCCUAGGUUUCUUCCUAGGUUCUGGCCAUCCUAGGGAGUUUUUUCCUAGCCACCGUCCUUCUACACCUGCAUUGCUUGCUGUUUUGGGGUUUUAGGCUGGGUUUUUGUACAGCACUUCAUGACAUCCGCUGAUGUAAGAAGGGCUUUAUAAAUACAUUUGAUUUGAUUUGACAUGGAAUCACCAUUUUUGCUGCUUCAUGGUAACUAACAAAUCUAUUUUCCUAAUGAGUGACAUAAGGUUAUACAGUAACACUUGACAUCCAGUUCUUAGACAUGUGUAGUGAUUUUGGGAUUGUUACAAUAGCAAAACUGUUUGAUGGGACUUUGGAAAUGGCUUUAUAGCUGCAUAAUAAUGGAGAUAUUACAUACACUACUGUUAAAACGUUUGGUUCACUUAGAAAUGUCCUUGUUUUUGAAAGAAAAGCUUUUUUUUUGUCCAUUAAAAUAACAUAAAAUUGAUCAGAAAUACAGUGUAUACAUUGUUAAUGUUGUAAAUGACUAUUGUAGAUGGAAAUGGCAGAUUUUUUAUGGAAUAUCUACAUAGGCGUACAGAGGCCAAUUAUCAGCAACCAUCACUCCUGUGUUCCAAUGGCAAGUUGUGCUAGCUAAUCCAAGUUUAUCAUUUUAAAAGGCUAAUUGAUCAAUAUAAAACCCUUUUGCAAUUAUUUUUAGCAUAGCUUAAAACUGUUGUGCUGAUUAAAGAAGCAAGAAAACUGUCUUCAGACUAGUUGAAUAUCUGGAGCUUCAGAAUUUCUGGGUUCGAUUACAGGCUCAAAAUGGCCAGAAACAAAGAACUUUCUUCUGAAACUCGUCAGUCAAUUCUUGUGAAAAUCAAAUGGCUUUAAUUUUCUCUGAAGUAUUUUCGGGUAUCAUUAAAUGAAUUGCAGUUUUCAACCUUUUCAGUGGCAUGUUUAAAGAGUCAUACAGUAGUUGACCAUCACAACUUAUUUAUACUUCUCUGUACAAAAUAUAAUUGGUUGAUUGGUUUGA